rnacentral:rRNA from 1 species
ACCGGCGAACGGGUGCGUAACACGUGAGCAACCUACCGAACUGUGGGGGAUAGCCGGCCUAACGGCCGAGUAAUACCGCAUACGCUUUCUAAAAGGCAUUUUUUGGAAAGGAAACCUACGGGACAGAUCGAGGGGCUCGCGGCCUAUCAGCUAGUUGGCGAGGUAACGGCCCACCAAGGCAACGACGGGUAGCUGGUCUGAGAGGAUGGCCAGCCACAUUGGGACUGAGAGACGGCCCAGACUCCUACGGGAGGCAGCAGUGGGGAAUCUUGCGCAAUGGCCGAAAGGCUGACGCAGCGACGCCGCGUGUGGGAGGAAGCUCUUCGGGGUGUAAACCACUGUUGCCCGGGACGAACAUCCCUAUUCGUGGGGACUGACGGUACCGGGUGAGGAAGCACC